GCGUAGAACUCCUUUUCGCGUGGGCGGCCUUCGGCCGCGCUUCAAAAAAAUAACCCUCAUCAGUCCAACUCCGGCUACGCAAUCCACAGUAUUUUUGCGUAAAACUCCUUUCCGUGUUAAAACCAUUGAACCCAAAAUUAAAACGUCAUAUGCGUGUAUGUAGUAAGCAGGCACAAUAACCCCCAUUCCCAUCAUUAACACUAAACUCAAGUACUUAAUUUUUGUUUUCAUUUGCAGGCAUCCGGCAACACCAUACUGUUGUAAUUCCAAUCUUCUUCUUGUUCGCGCUUAAAAUUGGAAUGUGAUUGCAUAGGCAAAUGAAUUUGCAUUUAAUUUUAAUAGAUAUAAUUAGAAUAUUAGCAUAAAAAUCGGUACAAACACGCGUGUGAGUGUAUAUUUGGUGAUUUAUAGUGAAAUGUUAAAAAAUAUAGAGUGUAAUGUGGCAAAUUAUACUGAUGUUCCCAAGGGCAUUUUGAAUCAAUUAAAGUUUUUGUUCUACCAUUAUGACGAAGUUGUGUACACAGAUAAACUAAAAUCAGCUUAACAGCUGCGGAAAACAAGAAACCCCAACAACAUGCUGGAAAAAACGUAUACAAGAAAGCUCUGACAGGGUGCGGAUAAAUGCGAAAAGGAGUAUAACAUUAUUUAAAGCAACAUGUUAGCUGACAAUGGACCAAAACCCGAUUUGGCAAAACUUUCCUUCGCGCGAUUUUUAUUCCAAAUUUUCAGUAUUUGUAAAAAUAUUUGUUUUUGUAAUAUAUAUGUAUAUUUGAAAUGAAAGAAAGCGCCGCUAUAAAUAAUAAUAAAAGAAUUGUUCCCUUUUGGUUGGCUGGGUUUUUCUUAUUUCUCUUUGUUAUUCUCUCUCUCAUCGUUCGUUUGACAGUUCGCUCGUCAAAUUUAUUCUGCACGGUAUUACAAACGGAUCUGGCGAGGAAUUGCCAGUGACGUUUAACAUUAGAUAACAAUCGGCCAUGGAGUGUGGACGAAACCAAUGCCACCUGUUAUUGUGCUUCGUCGGGUUCGAAAGCCACCUUACGAUUGCCCAGAGUCUGCUCACAUCGUCUUGACGUGCUUACCUAUUACCGAAUCUCCAAAUUAAGACCCUACAUCAGAGAACUCCCGUUGUUAGAAAUAAAGUAAAGCAAGUGUGUUGCCAUUAUAUUGUGCCUUGUCAUUUGACUGUCUAGUGAUCGAACUCAGAGAAGUUAUUGUAAGAGAAUUAUUUGAAUUUUAACGUAAGAAAAUUCGUAACUUUAUGCAUACACCAUUAUAAGAAGCUGGUUGUAGAUUAUUAACUUGAUCGCAAAACAAAACUUUUAUAUAUUUAAAUAACGUGAAGACUAAACGAAUACAACAAGUACAACCAAGCACGAGCACUACUUUCGAUGUGGAAGAUUUGUCAGAGGUCGACAAAAAGUAAGAUGGUGAUAAUAUUCAACUAAUCUCACUUUACCCAUUUUGUUUUCAUUUCAUUCACCUC